GAACCUCCAAAGAAAAUAAAACAACCAAGUAUAGCGAAGAAAAAAAAUCAAUCAGACAAGCCCCAAGUUGUUGAGGUUGAAACUGACUUCGUUG
rnacentral:rRNA from 1 species